ensembl:lncRNA
GUCUGACUUGUAGCUCACUGCUUUCGCAACUGGCCGUUUGCAGUUAACAGUAUAUCUUGGAAAUCAUUCCAUAUCCGUUCUUAAGGUGCAAAUGUAUUUGGGGAGCUGAUUUUAGGGAUCUCUCUUUAACACCAAAAGUUUUCACAGAUCCCCAUGAAGAAGACUUGAUAUUACCAAAGACGUCCUGAAUUCAGGAAUAGUUUAAGGCCGCCAGGCUUCUCUGUCCAUGGAAUUCUCCAGGCAGGAAUACUGGAGUGGAUAGCUAUUCCCUUCUCCAGAGGAUCUUCCAGACCAAGGGAUUGGACCUGCGUCUCCUGUGUCUCCUGCAUUGGGGAUCUUCCCAACCCAGGGAUCGAACCCAAGUCUUCCACAUCGCAGGCGGAUUCUUUACCAACUGAGCUAGGUGGAAAAAGAAGAAAAAUGAAGGAGAGGAGAACUUUUCCCCACAGACCUUGCCACUCACCCAGACCCCACCUCAAAAUAAAGCAGGGCGGCAUCCUCCAGUUUUCAGAUUUCCUUAUCUCUAAGAAGACCAACCAUGACAAUUUUAUGACCCAAAUGUAAGGAUGCAUUUUUUGGUUAUUAAAUGAGCUAAGUGACUUCAGAUCUGAAUGGGCAGUGAAAUAAAUAAUAUAUGUAUAUUUAAAAUUUUCCCUCUGUUUCUAAUUUUCCCGGAAAG